rnacentral:lncRNA from 1 species
CUUGUUUCAUUAACAUAUGUAGCCAACCACAAAACUAUAUAAUUAUCCAUGGAGACUAAAAUUUCUGACCUCUCAAAAUUCUCUCGAGAUAUUAAUCCUGUAAAUUUAUAGACAUUAUUAUGCUUCAAAUUCAUAACAAGUAAAAGUUCUAAUGUCUCAAGUCUCAAGGAUUAUAAUUAAAUCUGAAGAUCUCAUAUGUACACUUGCUUACAAUGUAAAACAAGGUAGGCACAAAUUACAACAGAGGACCAUAUAUUUUUUGCACAAAUUACAUACUAGAAUAAGUUAAGUACCUAUAAAUAAGGUAAGUUAACCAGGUACAGUGACCUUUUCAUGUCAAUACGGCGGGCAAAGAUUUAUUUUUUUCAGCCAGUGUAAACAUGAUCUCGAUAUAAAAAUUUAAAUCUGGAAAAGCCUCUAAAUCCAUUCUCACCUAAACCUUGAAACCAACUGAAGCCAAAUACUAACACUGCACCUGCAGGAAAGAAAAAAGUAAAAUUUACUUCAUGUUUGGAGGAGAAGAGUUAUGGUCAACCUACAAAUGAAUAAAUAACUAUUCUCAAAGUAACUUGCAGUAAACUGCAUACAAGUAAUAAAAAGUGAGGUAUAUGGAACAUUUCCAUGAAUUUAAGAGGAACUGCAUAUAAAUAGUUGUUGUUAGAUAGCUACUCAAAUACGAGCCUCACUAACAUGCUUCAAAUUUAAUAACUUAAGCCUCAAUGAGUGUCCAUAUGGACCAUAUGUUCUUGAUUAAGUUGGCCUUUUCAAAUACCACAAGAUAGUGAUAAUUUUCCAAAAAUGAAAUUCUUUAUGUAAUCACUCAGCCUCAUUUCAUAGGAAAAGCCCCUAGUUAACAAAUAGUUUCUUCAUUCCAAAAUUAUAGAUACAUUUCUAAAAUGAUGAACUUAAGGAUAACCUUGUGUUCCAAAUAUACCCCUAAUAUUAGGUAAGAGUUUAGAGUGGUGGUGUGAUGCUAGAUAUGCUAGUAAAAAUGUAAUGGCAAAUUAGGAAUAUCAUGUAACGUUAUAGUCUUAAAAUAGAAAUGUAACUUUAUGCUUUCUUACUAGUUAAGCUGCCAUUUGUGAAAGUGUGUUUAUAGAAAUUGGAGUUGUGAUGUGCUUGUGUGAGGGAGAGAAAUGGGGAAGAUAUGUAGUCCAUUCCUUAUCAAUAAAACUACCUUUUUAAAAAGAUAAAGUAGGGCAGGUAGGGCAGACUCCAGACUCCAGUAGAAAGGCAUUAAUCUCCCUAGUUCUCUGUCGGUAAAGCAUUAGCUUAGUACAAACUGAGAAUAAUAGCUUUUAGGUCUCAAGUGAAAAUUUCUAGAUAGUCAAUGUGAGAAAGUCAUCUACUUAAGAAAAACAAAGGGAAGAGGGCAAAACAAAAAACAUAUAUCGUGAGUUAACAGGUCAAACUUUGUCUUAAAUGAGGAUGCACAUCAUAUAAACCCAAGGAAUUCAAUUUCACCUCCAGAACCUUUGGGAACAGUAUAUCAGUUUUAAUGUAGUUCUCAAGCAAGAAAUCAGCUGAACUAACUUUAGCUUGUUUAACACCAUGGUAGAAAAGAUGUAACAGGAUUGAUAAGUCCCCAAGCUAGUGGAAUUAUUAUAAUCAGAUUGAUGGGUGGUUAGGUGUAAAAUGAAUGAACCUAGUAAAUAUACCACCAAACUAAAGGCUUUCACAUUUAAAGACCACCGAUAUAGCUAAACAAAACAUAGGUAUUUGCUCAUACAAAAUCCAGUUUAGUGAACAAUGAUGAGAAGUCACAUUAAUAUAUGAGGUCUUAGGUCCAUAAUUGCACGGUUCACUCAUUGACAAACAAUAAUCUCAACUAUAUGAUUCUUUAGUUUGCUAAAAGUCAUUUUCUGGUGCAAUCAACAUCUAGAAAUCUAGAUGAUCAAAUACAUAAUUCAAACACAAGUUCAUUGUUGUCAUAAUAAGAAACUUUCUAAAACUAACCAUAGCACAGAUGGACCUGAAGUCUUCAUCCUACCCCAUCACUUUUUAUAACUUAAGCUACCCCCUGAGUCACAGUUGUCAACUGUAUUUUAAAUGUGAGUUCCAUCGCCAUCAUUAAAAGUAAAUGACCAUUACUAACUAGAAUUUUUCUCUACAAUUAACCAAUAAUAACAAAAUGUUGAUAGUGAAACCCUUCUUGGUAAUCAAAGAUUUACUCCAACACCAUAUUCCUCUAUACUGGAACCUUUACCUAAAGAUCACAUGGAUGGUAAAUCUAAAUCCCCAUGCAGAAAAGGGCAUUGGAAAGAGAUCCAAUGAGAAUCAUGAGAUAGAUGGCCCGGGUGAUCAUUCUCAGAAGAAAUGAAGAGGAAAUCGGUCUCUGCUUGUUUUGUCUUUAAUUUUUCAAAUGGAACAAUUCGUUCCUCAUUUCAGUUAUCUUUACAAUGAAACUUUUAUUUGACAUUUAUAUAACAUUACCAAAACAAGCAGUAAGAAGUAUUUCAAGUUACCAAUCUCUCACAUGCAUGUCAGUAUGUCACAGUGAAAACAAAUGAAAAUUUUUGAACCCAUGGAAAGUUAAUGAAGCAUCUGUGUAUCAUAUUCACUCAUAAACUUUGAAGUUCCUGAGGCUCUUAUGGUUACAGUUGUAUAAUAUAUGAGCUUUUGUGAGGCUUGACAAUGUCAGCCUCCAGGUUUGCAGUUACAUGUUCCUUAUUCUAUGAUUUUAUCAUGAAACGUAUAUUCAUAGAAAUUAGUUACGUCCAGAUUGGAUAAUCCUUUUGAUUUUGUUUCCAAGCUCUUAUUUUACUAAAUGACUAUGGAGCUAUAUGACACCACAAUUUGUUUGGUUAAUCAAUUUUAAAAGUACGUUAAAAGUAGCAUAAGUAUAGUUACCUAUCAUAGAUAAAAUUAAAGCUUUUCCUGCAUGUUAAGUGCAUGAAACUUUUGCAGAAUGUAUUUGAGAUUGCCUACUGGCUGUUUUAGACCCAUUAUACACCCCUGCCCCACCCUUCCUUUUUCCUGAUAAGUUAUUCCCUUAAACCCUCCUUCCUACCUCCUUAGACAUCACAGGUACGUUCAGUUGAGGCAGGUACAACACAAAUAACAACAACAGAACAGAUCACUCAAAACACCUCAAAUUGAGAGAAAAAAGAUAAAUAACAGAUACAAUAUUAUCAUAUAGCUCUUGAUCUAAAAUGAACAAGGACCUUGCCUUGCACAAAAAAACGUCGGUAGUGAGUCCAAAACUUAACUAAAACACUCCAUGAGGUAUGCCAAUUUUACAGCAGGCCUGCAGAGGAGGGAUUAAAGGAGCAAAAGAGAAAAAAAUACAUUCAUAGAAGUGCGACUCAAGUGAAAAUUGAAAAGGCUAAUGUUCUGUAUGGAGUAUUAUUGCACCUCUAUUCUUUAUUUUUAAUUUUAAAUCUACUGGCUACUGGGAGAGAUAAAAAAUUUAAGGUUUUUUUUUUUGAAGUUCUACACCAUAUAAAUGUUAGGAGAAUCUUUGCCUUUGUCUCUGCUAAAAGAACGUCUUCUCAGCUGAAAGCCUGAAACAAUGUUAACUAAGAGCCUUCUAGUUAGUUUCCAUUCUUUAUUUUUAAUUUUAAAUCUACUGGAUACUGGGAGAGAGAGAGAGAAAAUUAAGUUUUUUUUUUGAAGUUCUACACCACAUAAAUAUUAGGAGAAUCUUUGCCCUCGUCUUUGAUAAAAGAACGUCUUCUUAGCCGAAAGCCUGAAAGAAUGUUAACUAAGCCUUCUAAUUAGUUUCCAUGUUUUUUCUUUUUUUGAUAAACACCCUAGCCUUUUAAGAUCAUCCAAACCUCAAAAAAGGGAAGGAAAAAAUAAGAUGUUAUGUAUGGAGUAUUAUUGCACCUCUAUUCUUUAUUUUUAAUUUUAAAUCUACUGGCUACUAGGAGAGCUAAAAAAAUUAAGGGUUUUUUUUUGAAGUUCUACAACACAUAAAUAUUAGGAGAAUCUUUGCUCUUAUCUUCGUUAAAAGAACGUCUUCUCAGCUGAAAGCCUGAAACAAUGUUAACUAAGCCUUCUAAAUUAGUUUCUUUUCUUCUUCUUUUUUUGUGAUAAAUACCUAAUCCUUUUAAAAUCAUCCAAACCUCAAAAAAGAAAAGGAAAAAAUAAAAAUCCACAUUUCUUUCAAAAAAAAAAAAAUCAAAGUCAACACAGAGCACAAACGGGUACUUGUUAAAAAAAAGAGAGAAAGAAAGAGACAUAAUCUGUUUGGUGGAGUGACAAAUACUUGAAUAACUCCAAAUUGACACUACUAAAUUCAAAGGAGAUGUUUAUUCACAUUCCUAUGGGAAAUCUAUGUCAUAUUACCACAUAAAGCUUCCGGAUCUCUUAUAAAAAGAGGCAUAAUUGAUCCUUUUACCAUGCCUAUUUGAUUGCCCCUUCAACGAACAAGCUAAAUUAUUGCCAUUUAAGUAUCUCUACAGAUAGUCUUUCCUAACCACUUUUGAGUCAAAUAAGAAACUUCGACUAACAUGAAGAAGUUCCUUGAAUCUAACGCCCGUAAAAAAACAACUCACAUAAAGAAGGACAACCACCCAGCUUAGCUAGUAAGAAUAAUAUUUAUGAAGAACUACUGGAAAAAUAGCAGUCCAAAAAUAAGAAAUGGUUUCAUAGCACUCCUAUACAUAGUCUAAGUGUCAAUGGAAAGGAUACACAACUUUCCUUUCAUUAUAUCCAGUAACCUGUAACCUGAGUUCAGUAUUAUUGCUAACCUGAAUUCACCGUUAUUACUUCGGGAAGCACCUUCACCAUAAUGCCUUGGCAACAUGCGAGGGUUUCAAAUUGUGCUUAACCGUAGCCAGGAGAGUUUCCAUAUUGUUUCAAUUUUGUAGGAUGAUGCAAUUACUAUGUCACCAGAAGACAUAAACUGGAUGGUUGCAUAGUUCGGAAGUACAGUUCGACCUCAAACAUAUCCAAUACAUCUUUUGAUCAAAAUUGUAGUCUCCACACAUGUGCUUUUUGAUUACCUUUGCAAAUUCUAAAGAUCCAUGAAUACUUCCAAGCAUGUUCAGCAACUACAGUCUACUCUAUAUAUCAUCUGGCACUUGCAUUGUGAAAUAUAAAUCUCAAAAGCAUAGAUUUAGGAUCAAUGAUUACCUCAAUAAUAUAUGUUCAUCUCCAUGUGAUUUCUUAUUUGGUGCGAGUAAGAUUUGUAACCAACUCAACACCCUCAUACAUCAUUAGGUAAUUCAUUAGGUAAGUGCAACUAGAACUCUAUACAUAACACUACAUAUACAACAAUUCAAUUUGCAUUACAUAUAAAAAAGUUAAAUAUUUAAAGUUUGAGGUCAUUGCGAAAUUGUGUGCAAUUAUUGAAUUGACUAUGCAUACCAAAAUUUGAAAGCUUUCUCCACAUUUUCAAAUGGGUAGGUUUAAUUCUCCCCUAAGUCCCCUUCCCACUCAGUUCCACUUCCUCCCCAGCAAUGUGUUACUACCAAUAUAACAAAAUCCAACUUGCAUUACAUAUAUAAAUAAAAAUUAAAAAGUUAUCGUUUAAAUUUUGAGUCCCUGGUAAAAAAUAGUUGUACCAGAAACAACAUCUCAAAAAUGUUGAGUGAAAUAUGAAAGCUUUGCCCAAUUUUUAAAUUGGGCUAGACUCAAUCAUCUCCUACCCAGUCAAUUCCCAAUACAUCUGUAGGACUAUUCGUAUAAAUUAAUUUGAAAGCACACAUAACGGACAUGGGUUAUGCAGAAACGUGAAGAUUACCUUUAAGGGUAAUUAAAUAGAACAAAUCAUUACCUUAUUGAAUCAACCGGUAAAAAACUUGAAAAGAAUGAAGCAGAGGAAACCAAAGAAAAUGAGGAGGAAAAGGUAAUCCACAAAUACGAAGAACUUGGUAGAGCCGUGAUUUCUCUUUGCAUUAUUCUUCUUCGUCGUCGCCUGCUUCGCUGGUUCUUCCUCAUAUGCUUCUCUAUUUUCGCCAUUAUUGAAUCCAAUUUCAAAUCACAGAUCUCUUCCACGUGCACCACAUGUGACUAUGU